rnacentral:lncRNA from 1 species
AAGAACUUCUACUGCAGGGGUCAAAAUAAAUCUGUGUUACCAGAUGGAGCAGUUUUAUCUACACUCUACAAGAGAGCAUCUUCAGACCCAGACAGUUCUGCUUCAUUUCAUCAUUAAGCACUACCUGCAAAAUCUUGAAGUGAGGCCACAGUACAUGGAAGCUUGGGUACCACUCAGAAAGGCUUGGCCAUCUUUGGGGGAGCUUGGUCAUGGCCUGUGUGAGGACAUGUGCAGAGGACACAGGCGGCGGUCACCCUCCUGCUCUCUGGAAGUCACCACAUGGAAAGCACAUGGAGACCCUUGA